rnacentral:rRNA from 2 species
GCUCAGAUGAACGCUGGCGGCAGGCCUAACACAUGCAAGUCGAGCGGUAGAGAGAAGCUUGCUUCUCUUGAGAGCGGCGGACGGGUGAGUAAUGCCUAGGAAUCUGCCUGGUAGUGGGGGAUAACGUUCGGAAACGGACGCUAAUACCGCAUACGUCCUACGGGAGAAAGCAGGGGACCUUCGGGCCUUGCGCUAUCAGAUGAGCCUAGGUCGGAUUAGCUAGUUGGUGAGGUAAUGGCUCACCAAGGCGACGAUCCGUAACUGGUCUGAGAGGAUGAUCAGUCACACUGGAACUGAGACACGGUCCAGACUCCUACGGGAGGCAGCAGUGGGGAAUAUUGGACAAUGGGCGAAAGCCUGAUCCAGCCAUGCCGCGUGUGUGAAGAAGGUCUUCGGAUUGUAAAGCACUUUAAGUUGGGAGGAAGGGUUGUAGAUUAAUACUCUGCAAUUUUGACGUUACCGACAGAAUAAGCACCGGCUAACUCUGUGCCAGCAGCCGCGGUAAUACAGAGGGUGCAAGCGUUAAUCGGAAUUACUGGGCGUAAAGCGCGCGUAGGUGGUUUGUUAAGUUGGAUGUGAAAUCCCCGGGCUCAACCUGGGAACUGCAUUCAAAACUGACUGACUAGAGUAUGGUAGAGGGUGGUGGAAUUUCCUGUGUAGCGGUGAAAUGCGUAGAUAUAGGAAGGAACACCAGUGGCGAAGGCGACCACCUGGACUAAUACUGACACUGAGGUGCGAAAGCGUGGGGAGCAAACAGGAUUAGAUACCCUGGUAGUCCACGCCGUAAACGAUGUCAACUAGCCGUUGGAAGCCUUGAGCUUUUAGUGGCGCAGCUAACGCA